rnacentral:rRNA from 1 species
CCCCUAGAUGUUCUGGGCCGCACGCGCGCUACACUGAACAGUUCAACAAGUCUUAACCUUGGCCGAUAGGUCUGGGUAAUCUUUGAACGCUGUUCGUGAUUGGGAUAGACCUUUGCAAUUAUGGGUCUUCAACGAGGAAUUCCUAGUAAACGCAAGUCAUCAGCUUGCAUUGAUUACGUCCCUGCCCUUUGUACACACCGCCCGUCGCAUCUACCGAUUGAAUGGUCCGGUGAAAUCUCGGGACGGCGGCUCGGUCGCUUGCGUCCGACUGCUGAAACUUGAUUAAACCAUAUCAUUUAGAGGAAGGUGAAGUCGUAACA